rnacentral:rRNA from 1 species
UACAGAGGUCUCAAGCGUUGUUCGGAUUCAUUGGGCGUAAAGGUGCGUAGGUGGCGCGCUAAGUCAGGUGUGAAAUUUCGGAGCUUAACUCCGAAACUGCAUUUGAUACUGGCGUGCUUGAGGACUGGAGAGGAGACUGGAAUUCAUGGUGUAGCAGUGAAAUGCGUAGAGAUCAUGAGGAAGACCAGUGGCGAAGGCGGGUCUCUGGGCAGUAACUGACGCUGAGGAGCGAAAGCGUGGGGAGCGAACAGG